rnacentral:rRNA from 1 species
UACGUAGGAGGCAAGCGUUGUCCGGAAUUACUGGGCGUAAAGCGCGUGUAGGUGGUGGGACAAGUCUGCUGUGAAAGCGCCUGGCUUAACCGGGCGAGGUCGGCGGAAACUGUCCGACUAGAGGACGGUAGAGGGGGGUGGAAUUCCCGGUGUAGUGGUGAAAUGCGUAGAGAUCGGGAGGAACACCUGUGGCGAAGGCGGCCCCCUGGGCCGGCCCUGACACUGAGACGCGAAGGCGUGGGGAGCGAACGGG